rnacentral:lncRNA from 1 species
CAGCAAGGAGUCAUCAUGCAGGUAGCCUGGGGCAUGGUCCUAGGGCUCAGGACCUCUGGAAGGAAAGAUGAGAGAAGGGGAGAAUUAGUGUGUGUGUGUGUGUUUGGUAUAAACCCAUCUAAGGUGUGUGUGUGUGUGUUGUUAGGUAUAAACCCAUCUAAGGGUUGUGUGUGUGUGUUUAGGUAUAAACCCAUCUAAGUGUGUGUGUGUGUGUGUAGGUAUAAACCCGUCUAAGGUGUGUGGUGUGUUUAGGUAUAACCCGUCUAGGUGUGUGUGUUUAGGUAUUAACCCAUCUAAGGUGUGUGUGUGUGUGUAGGUAUAAACCCGUCUAAGGGUGUGUAUGUGGUGUAGGUUAUAAACCCGUCUCUGUGGGACAGGAGGACGUGGUCCACUGGCUGCACUGGGCUCAGGGGAAUAUUCUCUCCUCAGAACUGAGAGAGGACGGUUUGAGAUGAACGGCAGAGCUCUCUGCCUCCUCACCAAGGAAGACUUCAGACGCCGCUGUCCUGACUCAGGUAUGCCACUGGGGGGGGGGGGGUGGGGGGGGGGGGGGGCUCCUCUCCUGUAUGAGCUCCUCUCUCUGUUUCUAGUUGAUGUACUGUAUGAGCUCCUCUCUCUGUUUCCAGGUGAUGUACUGUAUGGGCUCCUCUCCUGUAUGAGCUCCUCUCUCUCAGUUUCCAGGUGAUGUACUGUAUGAGCUCCUCUCUCUCUGUUUCUAGGUGAUGUACUGUAUGAGUUCCUCUCUCUGUUUUACGUGAUUUUUGUACUGUAUGAGUCCUCUCUCUGUUUCUAGGUGAUGUA